AAUUACCAAUUGUUGGCCAAACAACUACGAGCGAACGCUUAAAACCUAAAAGACUUGACGGUACUUCACUCAACCUAGAGGAGCCUGUCUAAUAACCGAUAAUCCACGAUCAACCCAACCCCCUCUUGCCAAACAGUCUAUAUACCGCCGUCGUCAGCAUACCCUGUAAAGGAAAUAAAGUAGGCUUAAUAGUACAACACUAAAACGACAGGUCGAGGUGUAACCAAUGAAGGGGCUACGAUGGGCUACAAUGAGCCUCACCCAAACAUCGAACAACACCGUGAAACCGGUGUUCAAAGACGGAUUUAGCAGUAAGAUAAGAAUAGAAUACUUGACUGAACAAAAUGCAAUGAAGUGCGUACACACCGCCCGUCACCCC
rnacentral:rRNA from 1 species